GGGGGGGAGGGGAGAGAGAGACCAUAUUAACCAACAUGGAAGAAACGCUGGGAGAUGUUGUUUCUACCAUAAAGGGGUAUAAACUAAAAGCGUGAAAAGAAUGAAAAAGACCCAGGUGCCCAAGUUAUUGUAGGACUAUUCCUAUAACUUGAUUUCUGUAUACCUUCCCAGUUAUCGUUCCUGAAAUUCGAUCUCUGCUACCACCACAACCCUUCUUCCCAAAUAAUCCUUGAAAGGAGCCCAAGUUUCUUAGUAAUCUAUGACACAUGUGGAAGAUGAAGAAACUGAGGACUAGGGAAACUCAGUGACUCACUCAACGGACACAGAGGUAGCAAGUAGCCUGGCCUAGAAUGAUUUGAUUCUUACUCUCUACAACCAUGUGGGCCCACUUGGCCAAGGUCCAUUGUUAUCUACUAUAACUGGGAUAAAAAUCUCCAAUUAAUUCAUAUGGAAGACCUCGCACAUCCUCAGAGACCAGUGAUUAUCAGCCCAAGACUUGUAAUACCCCAGGGAAUCAUCAGUUAUCUCAAGGACUAUUGAAAAAUUCUCAAAUCCUCUGAAACAAAUGACUAUACUUGAAACUCACUUUAAUGUGUACAUGUAUACAUACAUGAUGAAUAAGCCCUUUGGCUUAGGGGGUUAGAGGUAGAGAUCAUGGUGAGAAAUAAAAGAGAGAAUGAAGUUCAAGGGAUGCUAAUAGUUUGUUAUAAUUCCUGAAUGUUUGAGUCCAUGAUCCAGAAACAUAACAGACACUUAAUAAAUAUUUCCUGUUGGAUUCAUUAGCCCAAUACCUCAAAAUUACCAGACUAAGUUUAAAGGAAAUAAGCAUUAUCUUGCUCUUAGAGUUUCUGUGUCAGUUUCUCAUAAUAUAAACCAUUUGAAUCAAAAAUGAAAAUUUCAGCCAAAUACUUAGAGAAACACAUCAAAAUCCCAGAACCUCCAACUUAGAAGGGACUGUCAAAGAAGCUAUCAAAUCUGACCCAAAUUGGAAUAAGAAUCCUCUCUACAACCUUCCCAAAGAGUGGUCAUCCAUGCUUUAAUGUUAUGGGAGAGGAGAAGUUUCUAAGUUCCAGCUUAGAAAUUGUGUGACUUUAUGACUCUCAGCUUCUGUGCUCUGCAUAUUAAACCUUUCGAAAGGCAAUCUAUGAUUUCAUUAGUUCUUUUGGCUGCCGCAUCAUACCACUGACAUCUCCCAUCUUCCAAUUUGUAAUUGUGAAGCUAAUUUUUAAAACCAGAUAUAAGAUUACAUCCAUCCUUAUUGUGUUUCCUUCUAUUAGCUCCAAAAUAAUAUUCUAGCCUAUUAAGAUAUUUUUGAAUCCUGACUUAGUCAUCCUGCAUGUUAGUGACCAUUCUCAAUAUUGUGUCAUCUUUUAAUUUGAUAAGUAUGCCUUCUAUUUCUUUAUCCAAGUAAUUAAUAAAAAUUCAUAACACAGGGCCAACACAGAUCCUUGGGUUACUCCACUGGAUAUGUUCUAAGUUAAAAUUGAGCCAUUAAUGAUAACUAUUUGUGUCUGAUUAUUCAAUCAUUUCAUAAUCCACCUAAUUGUAUUAUCACCUAGUCCAGUUAUAUCAGAAUCAGAUAGAAAUGUCCCAGAAAGUUUGAUAUAGACCGAGAAAGUCAAAAAUCAAUGUUAUCUACCUUGUAUUGUAUUUUUUAUUUAUUUUGUUAGUUAAACUUUUCCCAAUUACAUUUUAAUCUGAUUCAGGCCAUACCUGAAUGCCACUGUUAGGCCUCACUUUUGACACCUCUGAUCUAACCUACCUCACUGUACCUUGUCCAUAAGGUUAUUCUGAAUGAUUUUGUC